rnacentral:rRNA from 1 species
UGAGACACGGACCAAACUCCUACGGGAGGCAGCAGUGAGGAAUAUUGGUCAAUGGCCGAGAGGCUGAACCAGCCAAGUCGCGUGAAGGAUGAAGGAUCUAUGGUUUGUAAACUUCUUUUAUAGGGGAAUAAAGUGUGGAACGUGUUCCAUUUUGUAUGUACCCUAUGAAUAAGCAUCGGCUAACUCCGUGCCAGCAGCCGCGGUAAUACGGAGGAUGCGAGCGUUAUCCGGAUUUAUUGGGUUUAAAGGGUGCGUAGGUGGUAAUUUAAGUCAGCGGUGAAAGUUUGUGGCUCAACCAUAAAAUUGCCGUUGAAACUGGGUUACUUGAGUGUGUUUGAGGUAGGCGGAAUGCGUGGUGUAGCGGUGAAAUGCAUAGAUAUCACGCAGAACUCCAAUUGCGAAGGCAGCUUACUAAACCAUAACUGACACUGAAGCACGAAAGCGUGGGUAUCAAACAGGAUUAGAUACCCUGGUAGUCCACGCAGUAAACGAUGAUUACUAGGAGUUUGCGAUACACAGUAAGCUCUACAGCGAAAGCGUUAAGUAAUCCACCUGGGGAGUACGCCGGCAACGGUGAAACUCAAAGGAAUUGACGGGGGCCCGCACAAGCGGAGGAACAUGUGGUUUAAUUCGAUGAUACGCGAGGAACCUUACCCGGGCUCAAACGCCGCAGGAAUCACUUUUGAAAGGAAGUGAGCCAGCAAUGGUCUGCGGCGAGGUGCUGCAUGGUUGUCGUCAGCUCGUGCCGUGAGGUGUCGGCUUAAGUGCCAUAACGAGCGCAACCCUUAUCACUAGUUACUAACAGGUUAAGCUGAGGACUCUGGUGAGACUGCCAGCGUAAGCUGUGAGGAAGGUGGGGAUGACGUCAAAUCAGCACGGCCCUUACAUCCGGGGCGACACACGUGUUACAAUGGCAUGGACAAAGGGAAGCCACCUGGCGACAGGGAGCGAAUCCCCAAACCACGUCUCAGUUCGGAUCGGAGUCUGCAACCCGACUCCGUGAAGCUGGAUUCGCUAGUAAUCGCGCAUCAGCCAUGGCGCGGUGAAUACGUUCCCGGGCCUUGUACACACCGCCCGUCAAGCCAUGGGAGCCGGGGGUACCUGAAGUGCGUAACCGCGAGGAGCGCCCUAGGGUAAAACUGGUGACUGGGGCUAAGUCGUAACAAGGUAGCCGUACCGGAAGGUGCGGCUG